AGGGAGAGAUGGUGCCUAUAGUAACAGUGGGAUAAUAGUCUCUGGGAAGGCAGUGUGACUGUGGGAUAGUAGGGAGUUUAGGUGCCUAUAGUAGAUCCUCAGGUUGUGUUUAUAAAAAAAACUUAUUUUCCAGUAUUCUUGAAAAGAAAACCAAGAAUAUAGGCUUUACCCAAAUUUACUUCCACAGUCACUUUCCAUGUGGACACAUGACACAAUUCCUAUGUUUUAUCAUCAGUUAUAUAAAGAGAAAGGUUUCCCUUCUUUCCUGACAUGUAGAGCCGGCCCUGCCUUCAAAUUGUGCCUGUAAAUUAUCUUCCUUUAUGGUCAAUAAUGUUCUUUCUGGUUUUUAAAUUUCAUUUAAAACUGCAUCGAAAUAGACAAAUAGUGUAUUGCAAUGUGUGCAAGGGACAGAGGGCUAUGUGCGUUGCCAUUUUGGAACAGAAUUUGACCUGGUGGUAUCUCCAAGGUUCAAUGUCAAUAGGUGCAACAGGUAGAUCCACCAGAACAUGGAGAAGCAGCAUUAACCCCCCCCCCCCACACACACACACACACACACACACACACUUUUCUUUUUUGGGGAAUAUUUGGGCGCAUGUUAGGCACAGCCCAAACAUUAUGGUUUCAAGUGCAGUCCAGAUGAGUUUGACUCCAGGAGGCAAUGUAGAUGUUCUCCAGCAAGUGGUUCUCCACAAUGUCCUUUCAUCUCCUUUAGUCUUCAGGGUGUCCUUUCAAUUCUCCUAGCAUUUUUGUCUCUUCCAAUAUCCUGGGGCUCCUAAUCAAGCCUUCAUAUGUAUUUUUGGGCUUCAAUCGCAAAGUAAGUUUGAUUUGGUCAAGGAUCCACUUGUUUGUUCUCCACCGAGACUAUCUUCUAAAGUCAUCUCCACACUCAACUUUUAAAGGCAUCAAUACUUUUCCUGUUCUGCUUCUUCAUUGAACAUUCAUAUCUGUAUAACGUAAUGGAAAGUAUCUCAGCAUGGACAUUUCUGCUCUACGGUUGGGUAGUUGAAGACCGUUUCUAGGCGAUUUGUCCUGGUUCUACCUGGGCUUUGAAUGCCGCAUCCAUUGUUAUUAAUGAUUGAUUGAAGGAGACAAAACCUCCUUAUGACUUCUAUUUCUUCACCAUCUACUCUAAACCCAGCUGUCCUUCCUGCUGUCACAACCUUUGUCUUCAUCUGAUUUAUCUGCAGUCCCAUCUUUUCUCUUGGUUCAUUAUAAGAGUCGGAAGGGCUUCUUCAUUUGCAGGUGUCAGGUGUCUCUCAGGUAUAGCCAAGAAGAAGAAAAUCUAGUUCUGCAGACACUGCCGUAUAUAUAGUAAGGGUUUGAUGGUUGUGUUUAGCACCUUGAGUUGUGUCACCAUACGUUUUGUUGUGAUGUUAAAGGCAGGGCCUCCUUCUACACUGUUCCCCGGGUGAGCAAGAAUUUGAAAUGGUUAGUAAGCUUUGACCCAUCUCUUGUUGGGCAUGACUCGUCAAUGGCUUCUGAGAGUUCCACGCGGGUAAAACAGAUGAUCGGGUCUUCAUUUAAAGCUCAACAGAGAUGCACCAAUCUAGGGAUUCAAAAAUAAGGGUAAUGAUUCAUGAUUUACUUUUCAAGGCUUUAGGUCUCCUUUAAGGAAAAGCAAAGAAUGGUGCUGUUUUAGUCAUGGAUGAGAGAAGACAUACAGUAUUGGAGAGGAUUUGGCUGAUCCCUGUCAUUUUGCUAGGAAAACGCCGACUGCUCUGAAUGGGGCCUUCAUAAUUUAGAGGAGCAGCCUAUCCAAUAAGUGCUUUUUAUGGCGGAUCAAGAGAUAAACACAGAAAAGAAUGUAAAGGGAAAGCGGCAGACAGUCAUAUGAUUAUGUUUUUGUAUCGGUCUACUAGGAAAUUUCUCCCCGCAGGCGCGUCCCCAUCUCCCUCAACAUUUCCUAUUGUGCGACGCUCCAGCAACUUCCUAUUACUGAGAGAAGCUGAUGUAAAAUCAUUGUGACAUUUUUUUUCUAAGAGUGAAUUUGUAGCUUUUUCUUCCACCCCCCCCCCCCCCCAACAACUGCGAUACGGGGGGAUAAAAACGUAUUACUGUAAUAUUCAAGGGCAGCCCUCUAAUUAGUGGCUUAAUUAUACAUAAUUCAUUAGCAAACAUUUUAUGCCUUAAUCAUUUUGUGGGGAUUUUUUAUUUGGUUCUGUUAUUGCGCAGUUUUUCAAGGAGGAACAAAGCCGGCCCACAUUGUUUUAAAUCAUUAACUUUGUAACAUUUUUAGCAAUAUUAUUAAUAAGGUAAUAAUCAAGCACCAACAUAUUCAGUAGCGCUGUACAAUAGAAAGGUGUAUACAUGCAAAAAUUGAUACAGGAGGUAAAGAGAGCCCUAGUCCAUAGAGCUUAUGAUCUAAAAGAUGCUGGGGGUCUGAAUUAUUAGCCCACUGGGUGGUGGACCCUGCUAACAAGUAAAACAGGGUCCUAUUGGAAAAAAACAUGGAUGAACUGCCAGGCCCCCGAUUUGAGCCGGUAAGUCCCAAAUUCUAACAAAGUCUGGUAAGUCCCAAAUUCUAACAAGGUCCCUCCCAUGAUCUAUCCAAAACCCCACCCACUUCUCUAUAAACCUCAUCUCUUUAUACAACCCACAAAUCGCAAUUUUAAUUCUUGAAGUCUCCCUUUGCCUCCUCAGUGUUCCGAUUCCACCUAUUUCUUUACAGACUCAAUGUCACUCCCCUGUAAGCUGCCAUUAGAGUGUUCUAGUUCCACCCACUGCUUGAGCCACAGACUCCCUGUCCCUCCCCUUUAAGCUGCCAUCAGAUUGUUCUAGUUCCUCCACUGCUUGAGUCACAGACUCCCUGCCCCUCCCCUAUAAGCUUCAAUCCGAGUGUUCCAGUCCCAUCCACUGCUUGAAUUUCAGACUUGCUGUCCCUCCCCUUGUAGUGCUCCAAGUUUUUCUUGCAGUAAACAAAACUUUGGUCCAUUAGUUUCACUCCCAAAACAACUCAGACACUGAAGUGGGAGUAUAAAUGAAAUAUUGGGCGGGAUCACCAGUUUGUUCUGAUAGGUCCCUAAUGUACAGGUGGAGUUGGCCUGUUUAGGUUGUGGAGUUCGAUUGGUUCAGGAUACCCAAGAAAUAAGCUUGCACAGGACUGCUCAAGGACAAUCUCACAGAAGACUUUGAAGUGUCUGGACAAGUAAUCUUGGGUGGAAGGUGGCUAGAACCAGAGGCCCAGAGAUUCUAGUUUCGUGCAAAGACUGCAGCUCUUCAGGAACUUCUGUAAACUUCACCUCCAAAACAAAGUAUUAGGUGUUUAACGGUUUUAAUUCACUAUAGUAGACUUAGCAUUGUGUGUAUCGUUUAGGAUUGUCAAUAGCCAUUUUCUUUAGUAAAGUAUUACAUGUUAUAAGCCAUAGUGUGUGUGUUUAUUUCCUUGAAAUUGACUGCAAUUUCUGAACUUAAUAGUGCCCUUAGCACUACACCCCUAUCAGUUGCCGCAAAGUGUUCUAGUCCCACCCACUGCUUGAGACACAGACUUCCUGUCCCUCCCACUGUAAGUUUUCAGAACGCACGUCAUAGGCUGCUGCUUGAAUGGAAGACUCCCAGUAGGGUGCAAUAAACAGUCACAUGAUGGAAGUAAGUCCAUUUUGAAGAACCAAUCUGGUGCUCUAGGGCAGGGGUCCCUAAACUUUUUUUUUACCAGUGAGCCACAUUUAAGUGUAAAAUAAUUUUGGAGAGCAACAUAAGUAUGCAAAAAGUGCCUUGUGUGCCAAAUAAUGGCUGUGAUUUGGGUAUUGGCAGCUCCUAUGUGGACAUGAAGCCAACAGGAGGCUCUGUUUGGCAGUAGACAUUGUUUUUAUGCAACAAACCUUGCCUAUGAGGCAAGAAUUAAAAAAUAAGUACCUGCUUGGAGGCCACUGGGAGCAACAUCCAAGGGGUUGGAGAGCAACACGUUGCUCACAAACCACUGGUCGGGAAUCGCUGCUGUAGGAUAAAGUGAAGAACGUCAUUCAUUGAUGCCUUGUAUGAUCAUAACUUCAUACUCGUAUUCCACAUUUUAGAUAUUAUAUUAUUAUCUCCUGAUUAUUUUAAGCAGUACACUAUCUCCCUGCCAUGCUUUAUACUUCAGUGUGGAAACCUAGAGUGCAGAAAAAUGGAAAUGGUGGAGUUAAGACAUAGGCAUCAAAGCCCAUCCAAAGAGGUACAAUAUGGGUCAUUACUUUUACUUUAUCACAAGUUCAAUGCGGCUUUUGGAAAUGCAGGGCUUCAGCAGCCACAAUGUAAUAAAGACGCAGUUUCGUGUAGUGAGUUAAUUAGACGUUCUGUAAAAUCCUUCAAUCCUUCCGUCCGUAGGGGCAGGUCCACUAGCCGCUGACUAGGCUCUAUCUCAGAACGUCUGCCAGGGAAGAUCAAAAUAAGGCAUGAAUACUUUUAUCCAGUAGAACAGUUGCUUCCACGUCUCACCGGACCAGGUCAUAAAAUCAGGCUUGUCUCGGUGAAUUAUGAACACGGUCCUUUUUAAAGAUACACAGGGAACUUAAAGCUUUGCCUUAGCUCCAUCGCUGGUUACAAAACUCCUACAAACUUUCUCAAAUUGAGUUUUCCUUUCUAUUGGAAAAUGUUUCCUUGGUGUAAGGAACUAGAUGGAUGAGGAGUCAGAACAAUAUGAAAUUUAUGGAUCACUUAAAUGUUUUUAAGGAAAAAAUGUGCAUCUUUUUUAUCUUCAGUUUUGGAGGUUUGACAUUUUCCAAUAUGUUCUCUGUAUGAAUAUCAUUUUCACGUUUGUUAUCUUGUUCAACUUAAGUUCCAAAUUUUUAUAGACACAAAUUAUAGAUUGCAAUGUGAGGGAGGAUGAACCCUCAGUGACUGUGGGAGAACGAGUGCUGGCUAUACUGGUUAUACUUUUGGCUAUAGUAGCUAAAGAAAGCCCAAAGUGACUGAGAAUAAAGUAAGAACGUUGGGUUUGGAAAAGAUAAAAUGAUGAAGGCCUAUUUGCUCAAUAUGUUGUUUACAAUUGCUAGAAAAGAGCUUUCAGUGUGCUAGAGAGUGAAAAAUGUUGAGUUGCGUGGUGGAAGAUACAAAGAUGAAGGCCCAGUUGCUCAAUAUUUAGGCUACAGUAGCUAAGAUCAUUAAAUGUAGGGAAUGAGAGAUUAUUGGGUUCUUUGGUUGAAGAUACAAUGAGGAUCCAGUUGCCCAAAAGUUUGCUUCCAUAGCUAGAGAAAGAACCAUCAAUGAUUGAGAAAAAGGGAAGAUUGUUGGGUUGUUUGGUAGAAUAUACAAUAAUGGAGACCCAGCUACCCAAUAUUAUGGCUACAAUAACUAGAGAAAGAACCCUUAGUGCUUGUUUCUUUGUUUGAAGAUACAAGAUACAGUUGCCCAAUAUUUUGGCUUCCAUAGCUAGAGAAAGAACAAUAAGUGACUGAAAAAGAGGGAAGAUUGCUCGCUUGUUUGGUUGAAAAUACAUUGAUGAAGAGCUUGUUGUCCAAUAUUUUGGCUACAAUACCUAGAGAAAGAGCCCCCAGUAUCUGAAGGGAUGGUGAGAGAUUGUUGGGUUCUUUGGUUGACGAUAUAAUGAAUUUCCAGUUGCCAUUAAUAUGGCUUCCAUAGGUAGAGGAAGAACCCUUAAUAACUGAGAAAAAGCAAAGGUUGUUUGGUUGAAGAUACAAUUAUGAAGGCCUAGUUGUCCAAUAUUUUGGCUACAAUAGCAAUAAAAAAGCCAUCAGUGUGUGUGAAAGAGGGAAAUUGUUGGGUUUUGUGGUAAAAGAUACAAAGAUGAAGGCCCAGUUGCUCAAUAUUUUGACUACAGUCGCUACAGACAGACCAGUAACUUUAGGGAAGGGGAGAGAUUGUUGGGUUCUUUGGUUGGAGAUACAAUGAAGAUGGAGUUGCCCAAUAUUUUGGCUUCCAUAGCUAGAGAAAGAACCCUUAGUGACUGAAAAAGAGAGAAGAUUGUUGGGUUGUUUGGCAGAAUAUACAAUAAUGAAGACCCAGCUACCCAAUCUUAUGGUUACAAUAGCUAGAGAAAGAUUCCUCAGUGCUUGGUUUUUGUGCUUUUCAAUGUUUAUUUUUUCAAUUUGUCCGUUAUUAUGGUUAUGGUAACAUUAUUUUCAGGUUGGGGAAAGACCAACCUCAGCUUUUUGUAAGAGACAACUUAAGACCUUGACAAAUUCAUUUUACUCCUCUAGGAUCAACUUAUACCUUUAUUAUCUUAAAGGUUCUUAAAUGUAUCUCCUGUAUCAGCCAUCACAGCUUUAAUAUUUAGCUGAAAAGGACAACUUGUAUUUUAUGACACUUAUAUGUCCUUUCCCGCAUUCACAAGACACAAAUAUGUACUUAUGUGACACUGAAAAUAAACUGUUCCCUUCAGCAUGUAUUGACCUUGGCAGUACUGGCCCAAAUUAAUCAUAUGCCUUCACAUACACCUUUUUUCUGUUCUGUAAACAAGCUCAAUAUAUCAAGCCUUGCUUUAUAACUCAUUCUGUAUCCCUUUAAUUAUUUAGUUGCCCUUUGGAGAACACCUUCAAGAGAAAAAUAUCCUUUUUUAUGAAUACAGGUGUAUCAAAUAUAUCAUUUUACUAUCAGAGGCAGAAUGGAGAGAUCACCAAGACCAGUAAUGGUCAUCUGUGAAAGUAACAUAUGGGCUCAACUCAUGGAUAGAUGAACUUACAAUAUGUAGGGCAACCUAGGAGAUGAACUGAACUAUGUAGCUAGUUGGUUUACACUGUAUGUCAAUGAUAUCGAGUUGGUAUCUAGUAGAGUUAAGUCAAAAGCUACUGGACUUGGGAGUUAGGAAUUUUUCACCACUCAUUCAACCAGCUUCUUCAGUUGAAUUGACUUAACUCUACUAGAUACUCUAUAUCAUGACCUGGAUGAACCUUCAUAGAGUUGACUAAUGUCUCAACGUAUAGCCUUGCCAUCAUUUCAGUCAAUUGUGGCAUACCCCAGCUACCUCCAUUGCAAGUUGAGUCUCACAACUGCCUUCUUACCUCUUCAGGCACAUUUUUUUGGGGGGUAAGAAGAGGUCCCAGGUUUUCUAGAGUACUACUUUACUCUCAUACACUAUUGUCUCUUAAAAAAGGAACCACAUAUAACUAUCCCUUAUUGGUGGCUUUUGACUGUCCUGCAGAAAUGCUGCAUUGUUUACCCCAUUCAUGAUUACCAAUACAUCAAGAGUCUUCUCUAGCCAUGCUAGGGUUGUAAAUGCUACUCGCCAAGCUUUGAAUCCAAUGUAAGAUGAAGAUACCCAAGCUUAGAAUCCAGUCUAAGAUGAAGAUACAGUUUUUGGGCUACUUACUUAUAUCCCAUUCCAUGUAUCUCCUCAUUGGCCACAGUCUCUACAGGAAUGAAUUAGAUAGGACGUCCCUAACUGCCCUGUUCCCAUCCUCUGACAUUCCAGACACUGAGAAUUCACAAGGUUUUAAAAGUUGCUACAGAAUGAGGUCAAAACUGAUAUGACUUAAGGACACCUGAAAUGAUACGUGACCCUUGUAUCACACACCAUGCAAAGAACUGAAUUUCAGAUUCUGCCAGCUCAGUGUGGGUCGCUGUCCUCAAAAAUAUCAGCAUGCACCACUGGUUACCCCCAGGCUUAUUUCUCUUUAGGAUUCUACCAACUCUUAUACGCUGAGCUUUGAAGACAACAAGUGCUUCAGGACAGGUUCUGCAAGCAGGAGUUAUGAUAUCGAGGAGACAGCAUUUCCACAUUGCCAGGAUCAUUAUAUUUAUUGCAUCCAAGCCGAACAGCCAAAGGCAGCUGACUAAGAAGAAGCUGCCCGGCUCCCUUACGCUGAUUCCCUUCCACACUUCUCCCAGCUGGAAGUUUCAUAUCAUCGGCCAGUCCAAUUGAUUCUGUAAGGCAAUUAAAGGGAGCGUGUGGGGUGAGACGGUGUAGAGAAACAAUUACAGGUUGGUUUUAUGCUUGCCAUUCACUAUUAGGAGGUCAGACAUGACAGAUUCCGAAUAAACACCAAACAACUUCGGCAGGAAUGUUGGAGAUGGCCCAGCUGAUACCUUCAGUGGCUCUUCUGUUGAGGGAUUAUAGUCUCUCCAUUUUCAUUUGUUCAGGCUUUGUUUCAAUUAAAGGCAGGAGAAGCGAUGGAAAGCAGUUCAGUGGCUGGCAGAAAACGAAUGCAACUGUAAUAGUGUUCCUUUACAUUGUUACUGAGGUUGAAUAAAAGAUACAAGUGCCUCCAAGUUAAGCCUUUGAGAUAGAGGUUGAUGAUGGCGUCUAUUGAAGGAAACAAAAAUUCUUAUUAAUUUUGCUUCUAGAGUUGAAGAUAAUGGAGAAAAAAUGACCAAUGGAUUUAAAGAAAAAUAAAUGUUACCCUGACGUUGCACAAAGGAGGAUUUAUUACACGUCUCAGUGGGACGACAGGUGAUAAAAGAGGGAAAAAGAGCGUCAUUAAUCAUGAAUGAGAUCCACAGCGUGGAAUUGCGUCUGUGAGUCCAGCAAAAAAAAAAGAACUAUGCUCCUCGCAGACGUUUUCUGCCCACUGAAUUAUUAAUAAGCACCAAAAGAAAAGCGAGAGGCUUCUUAUUUCUGCAUUGAAGGGUCCAGGUUGGUGUCAGCGAAUAAUGUAUCAAUGUUUGUAAAGAGAAGGUGGCAGCAUAAUGAAUAAUAAAUUUCCUUUUAUUACUGA